UACGAAGGGGGCUAGCGUUGCUCGGAAUGACUGGGCGUAAAGGGCGCGUAGGCGGUGCGGUAAGUCACCUGUGAAAACUCUGGGCUCAACUCAGAGCCUGCAGGCGAAACUGCCGUGCUGGAGUGUGGGAGAGGUGCGUGGAAUUCCCGGUGUAGCGGUGGAAUGCGUAGAGAGUCGGGAAGAACAUCAGUGGCGAAGGCGGUCUGCUGGGCCGUUGCUGACGCUGAGGCGCGACAGCGUGGGGAGCAAACAGG
rnacentral:rRNA from 1 species